GACGUAGGGCGCGAGCGUUGUCCGGAUUUAUUGGGCGUAAAGAGCUCGUAGGCGGCUUGUUGCGUCGGCUGUGAAAACCCGCAGCUCAACCCUGGGCCUGCAUUCGAUACGGGCAGACUAGAGUUCGGUAGGGGAGACUGGAAUUCCUGGUGUAGCGGUGAAAUGCGCAGAUAUCAGGAGGAACACCGGUGGCGAAGGCGGGUCUCUGGGCCGAAACUGACGCUGAGGAGCGAAAGCGUGGGGAGCAAACAGG
rnacentral:rRNA from 1 species